rnacentral:misc_RNA from 1 species
AAGUCGUAACAAGGUUUCCGUAGGUGAACCUGCGGAAGGAUCAUCAAUGAAUUCUUAUAUUCAAUCUGGCUUUGGUGACCUUUUUGGCCAUGUGCUGGAAGGUUAUCUCUGCCUAUCAACCACCAGUCUCAGUCUUUGUGGAAGGUGUCUUUUGUUUAGUGUCAAGAGCCCUUUUGCGAUCGACUUUGACUUUUUUUGAGUUUGGUAGGUUCGCUUGCAGGUUUUUCGAGGCAUGGUUAUUUUUGGGAUCAGCCUUGGCAACUUACAACAACCUCCUCCAUUCUCGUCAUUGUGGGCAACACAAAUUGUAAUUGAUACAACUUUUAACGAUGGAUCUCUUGGCUCCC